rnacentral:rRNA from 1 species
AAUUCGGAGAGGGCAACUUUGGGGCCGUUCCUUGUCUAUGUUCCUUGGAACAGGACGUCAUAGAGGGUGAGAAUCCCGUGUGGCGAGGAGUGCGGUUCUUUGUAGAAUGCCUUCGAAGAGUCGAGUUGUUUGGGAAUGCAGCUCUAAGUGGGUGGUAAAUCCAUCUAAAGCUAUUUAUUGGCGAGAGACCGAUAGCGAACAAGUACAGUGAUGGAAAGAUGAAAAGAACUUUGAAAAGAGAGUGAAAAAGUACGUGAAAUUGUUGAAAGGGAAGGGCAUUUGAUCAGACAUGGUGUUUUGUGCCCUCUGCUCCUUGUGGGUAGGGGAAUCUCGCAUUUUCACUGGGCCAGCAUCAGUUUUGGUGGCAGGAUAAAUCCAUAGGAAUGUAGCCUUGCCUCGGAAGUAUUAUAGCCUGUGGGAAUACUGCCAGCUGGGACUGAGGAC